rnacentral:rRNA from 1 species
GAUGAACGCUGGCGGCGUGCCUAACACAUGCAAGUCGAACGUGAGAGAGUAGCAAUAUUCUUGAAAGUGGCGCACGGGUGAGUAAUACGUAGGUGACCUGCCCUGGAGUGGGGGAUAACAGCUAGAAAUGGCUGCUAAUACCGCAUAACACCAAAUUGCUGGGAAGUGAAUUGGUAAAAACUCUGGUGCUUCAGGAGGGGCCUGCGGCCGAUUAGCUAGUUGGCGGGUAAGAGCCCACCAAGGCAGUGACCGGUAGCUGGUCUGAGAGGAUGAUCAGCCACACUGGGACUGAGACACGGCCCAGACUCCUACGGGAGGCAGCAGUGGGGAAUAUU